rnacentral:tRNA from 1 species
CGUUCUAUGGCCGAAUUGGUAAAGGCAUCGCCGAGGUUGCGGGUUUGAGUCCCGCUGGAACGA